CAGUAGCCGCGGGAAUACAGAGGGUGCGAGCGUUAAUCGGAUUUACUGGGCGUAAAGCGUGCGUAGGCGGCUUCUUAAGUCGGAUGUGAAAUCCCUGAGCUUAACUUAGGAAUUGCAUUCGAUACUGGGAAGCUAGAGUAUGGGAGAGGAUGGUAGAAUUCCAGGUGUAGCGGUGAAAUGCGUAGAGAUCUGGAGGAAUACCGAUGGCGAAGGCAGCCAUCUGGCCUAAUACUGACGCUGAGGUACGAAAGCAUGGGGAGCAAACAGGAUUAGAGACCCGAGUAGUCCCUGUCUCUUAUAC
rnacentral:rRNA from 1 species